rnacentral:rRNA from 1 species
CUGGCGGUUGCUUACACAUGCAAGUCGAACGGCAGCAUGGUGUGUAGCAAUACACACUGAUGGCGAGUGGCGGACGGGUGAGAAACGCGUAGGAAUCUGCCUUUUAGAGGGGGACAACUAGAGGAAACUCUAGCUAAUACCGCGUAAAGUCGAAAGACCAAAGGCUAGGUAGCAAUAUCUGGCGCUGAAAGAGGAGCCUGCGUCCGAUUAGCUAGUUGGUAGGGUAAAGGCCUACCAAGGCGAUGAUCGGUAGCUGGUCUGAGAGGAUGAUCAGCCACACUGGGACUGAGACACGGCCCAGACUCCUACGGGAGGCAGCAGUGGGGAAUAUUGGACAAUGGGGGCAACCCUGAUCCAGCAAUACCGCGUGUGUGAAGAAGGCCUUCGGGUUGUAAAGCACUUUAGGUUGGGAAGAAGGCAUGUAGUUUAAGAGAUGACAUGCUUGACUGUACCGACAGAAUAAGCACCGGCUAACUCUGUGCCAGCAGCCGCGGUAAU